rnacentral:rRNA from 1 species
GACGAACGCUGGCGGCGUGCCUAAUACAUGCAAGUCGAGCGGACCGAAGGGAGCUUGCUCCUUUAGGUUAGCGGCGGACGGGUGAGUAACACGAGGGCAACCUGCCCUGCAGACUGGGAUAACUUCGGGAAACCGGAGCUAAUACCGGAUAACACCGAAAACCGCAUGGUUUUCGGUUGAAAGGCGGCUUUUAGCUGUCACUGCAGGAUGGGCCCGCGGCGCAUUAGCUAGUUGGUGAGGUAACGGCUCACCAAGGCGACGAUGCGUAGCCGACCUGAGAGGGGGACCGGCAACACUGGGACGGGAACACGGCCCAGACUCCUACGGGAGGCAGCAGUAGGGAAUCUUCCGCAAUGGACGAAAGUCGGACGGAGCAACGCCGCGUGAGCGAAGAAGGUCUUCGGAUCGUAAAGCUCUGUUGUCAGGGAAGAACAAGUACCGUUCGAACAGGGCGGUACCUUGACGGUACCUGACGAGGAAGCCACGGCUAACUACGUGCCAGCCGCCGCAGUAA